UACGACUACAUAUCAGGCAUAUCAAUAAGCGGAGGAAAAGAAACUAACAAGGAUUCCCUUAGUAACGGCGAGUGAAGCGGGAAGAGCUCAAAUUUGAAAUCUUCAAGGUUCUACCUUGACGAAUUGUAGUUUAAAGAAGUGUUUUCUGUUAGAUGAGUAGCAAAAGUUCCUUGGAAUGGGACAUCAUAGAGGGUGAGAAUCCCGUAUUUGGUUAUUCAUUCUAGCUUUGUGAUACACUUUCAAAGAGUCGGAUUGUUUGGGAAUGCAGUCCAAAAUGGGUGGUAAAUUUCAUCUAAAGCUAAAUAUUGGCGAGAGACCGAUAGCGAACAAGUACCGUGAGGGAAAGAUGAAAAGAACUUUGAAAAGAGAGUUAAACAGUACGUGAAAUUGUCAAAAGGGAAGCGUUUGACACCAGUGUUGUUUUUCCGAAAAUCAAUUACGAAUGGCUUGAUUUUGUGUUGUAUUGACCUUAUCAGCUUUCUAGCACUCUUUUCUGAGUCUUUUUAAUGCACUUUUCGGUUAACAAGUCAACAUCAAUUUCUUUUGUUGUAAAAGAGUAUUCGAAGGUGGCUUUCUUUUCGGAGAAAGUGUUUAUAGCCCUAUACUUCUACAAUCGGAGAGAUUGAGGUCUGCAGCGUAGAUCCUUCGGGGUUAGAUACACUUGUGCUAAGUUGUAGCUUUUCAUAGACAACUUGUUGACUAUGUUUAGUCAUGCGGCUUACUCGCUUGUGCUAUUUUACCUACGCUUAGGAUGUUGAGUAGCGACAUACGCAC
rnacentral:rRNA from 1 species